GACGAACGCUGGCGGCGUGCUUAACACAUGCAAGUCGAGCGGUAAGGCCCUUUCGGGGGUACACGAGCGGCGAACGGGUGAGUAACACGUGGGUGACCUGCCCUCAGCUCUGGGAUAAGCCUGGGAAACCGGGUCUAAUACUGGAUAUGACUCCAUGACGCAUGUUGUGGGGUGGAAAGCCUUGUGCGGCUGAGGAUGGGCCCGCGGCCUAUCAGCUUGUCGGUGGGGUGANGGCCUACCAAGGCGACGACGGGUAGCCGGCCUGAGAGGCGACCGGCCACACUGGGACUGAGACACGGCCCAGACUCCUACGGGAGGCAGCAGUGGGGAAUCUUGCGCAAUGGGCGAAAGCCUGACGCAGCGACGCCGCGUGAGGGAUGACGGCCU
rnacentral:rRNA from 1 species